CCACUGCAGCCGGUGUGUUUUUAAAUGGGAGGGAGAGCAAGGAGGACCAGCACAAAUCAGAGGAUACAGCAUCACCUCAGCGAGACAAGAUAACAAAGAGCCUCAUCAGGAGUACGAGUCCAGACACAAAGACAAAAAUAUCCCCAAUAAGGAGAAGUGGAACCAGAAGUGAAGAUGAACCUGUUAGUCAUCCUCGCUGUAUUUGCCGCUCUAAGUGUUGAUGUGGCUUUUUCAGGAAAAAGGUCCAAAAAGAGAUGGUUACCUGAGCCCCGGGAGACUAACAAUGAGAUGUGUCGGUCUGGAGACGGA